GUGGUUCUCCCUCACCCUGUUGCUCUCUUUGCUCUUGGGGACCAGAAUAGUGCUGUUAUCAUUAAAGAUGUAGCACCUAGCUGAACAGUGGAAUGGGACAAAUUGAUCGCUGUCACUCCAGCUGUAUUCUUUUUGCUUGUAGAUGAGCCUGCCCCCUAAGGCCUGGGCAGUGGCACAGUUUGAAAGGAUGGGAUGUGGAAUGUGUCUCACCUACACCUGGGACUAGGAAAGACCCAUCAGAAGAACCUGCAACGGGCAUCUGCCUGCAGGGUUUAAGAUGCUUGUUCCUGGAUGAAGCAACUAGUUCCAGGCAUUGAGCACAGACCCAGGGCCUGACGGGAACCUCACCAAGUUCAGAAAAGGCAGAUGUAAGGGCCUGCAGAGGACACUGCAUUAACCAGUGCUGUGGUGCAGCCUGGGCAGACAAGCUUUCCUUUCUGUUCAGUGCUCUGGGACUGCAGCUGGACCACUGGGACGGGUUCUGGGCUUCUGCCCACCAGGUAUAUGUGGGAACAGUCCAGUGGAAGUCACCAUUAUGAUCAGGAGGUUAAAGCCCAGGAGCUGCGGGGUUUGUUGUCUGGAAAACAGGAGCUCAGGCCAGGAGAUCAUCUUGCAUCAGCUGUGUAAUAGGAGGGGGUAGAGAAGAUGGAGACAGGCUCACUUUAGGAGUGCACAGUAGUGAGGAAAUCGUGUAUAAUUAUUGGUGUAUCCCAGUGUUGUAUCACACCAGUAAUAAAACCUGUGCAGUCA